GCCCCGCUAGCUCAAGCGGAUAGAGCAGCCGAAUCCUAGUCGGCAGGUUCCAGGUUCGAAUCCUGGGCGGGGCA
rnacentral:tRNA from 1 species